AAUUCGCCCUUUUCCGGUUGAUCCCGCCGGACCCGACUGCUAUCAGAAUAGGACUAAGCCAUGCGAGUCAACGUAGCAAUACGUGGCAUACGGCUCAGUAACACGUAGUCAACAUGCCCAGGGGACGUGGAUAACCUCGGGAAACUGAGGAUAAACCGCGAUAGGCCAUAAUGUCUGGAAUGAUUUAUGGCUCAAAUCUACAUGGCCCCUGGAUUGGACUGCGGCCGAUCAGGCUGUUGGUGAGGUAAUGGCCCACCAAACCUAAAACCGGUACGGGCUCUGAGAGGAGAAGCCCGGAGAUGGGCACUGAGACAAGGGCCCAGGCCCUAUGGGGCGCAGCAGGCGCGAAACCUCUGCAAUAAGCGAAAGCUUGACAGGGUUAUUCUGAGUGAUUUCCACUAAGGAAGUCUUUUGGCACCUCUAAAAAUGGUGCAGAAUAAGGGGUGGGCAAGCCUGGUGUCAGCCGCCGCGGUAAUACCAGCACCCCGAGUGGUCGGGACGAUUAUUGGGCCUAAAGCAUCCGUAGCCGGUUCUGCAAGUCUUCCGUUAAAUCCAACUGCUUAACAGUUGGGCUGCGGAGGAUACUAUAGAGCUAGGAGGCGGGAGAGGCAAGCGGUACUUAGUGGGUAGGGGUAAAAUCCGUUGAUCCACUGAAGACCACCAGUGGCGAAGGCGGCUUGCCAGAACGCGCUCGACGGUGAGGGAUGAAAGCUGGGGGAGCAAACCGGAUUAGAUACCCGGGUAGUCCCAGCUGUAAACGAUGCAGACUCGGUGAUGAAUAGGCUUCGUGCCUAUUCAGUGCCGCAGGAAGCCGUUAAGUCUGCCGCCUGGGGAGUACGGUCGCAAGACUGAAACUUAAGGAAUUGGCGGGGGAGCACCACAAGGGUGAAGCCUG
rnacentral:rRNA from 1 species